UGCAAAAAACACUUAUUAAGUCAAGGUUUUUAAGUGGGUUGUUAUCCACCAGAUUUAAAAACAUGGGUGCAGGGGAGGAUUUUGACUUGAAUAGAUAUUAAAUGGUUUAACCCCAUUUAAAAUCUAUUUUAUAUUAAAAUAAUAAACACACAUAUCAAUAUUAGAAUGCCAAAAUUAUAUGAACUCAUCAAACUUUCUCUGCUAUAUACCGUGAAACCCACAAAUUCGUCGAACUUCAUCAUAUGUUCAUCGACCAUCAGCCCAACCAACAUUUCAAUUCGUUUACUCAAUCAGGUUGCCCCGACUCAUGGAUCUGAAGCCCUCGCUAUUGUUCUCGUCAUCGAUUGAAACGCAUCGGUUCUUCGAUUAGGUUUCUCUCAUUCACGCAUCUGAAGCCUAUUAUCGCUCACUGAAACACAUUCUCACUCCGAUUGCUCAGAUCCAAGCUAUUCAAUUUGGUUCCCUUGAAAAUUUUGCAUCUAGAUUUUUAGUUUUUUAUUUUAUUUAAUUUGUGAGUUUUGCUAUAAUUUUUGAAAAUUUCAGGUUGUUAAAAAGAAUGAGUUGUUGAUUCUGUUUUUGAUGUUGACGUGCUCGCUGAUUUCCUUCACUACUUUCAGAAUUAGGGUUUUUGAAGCUUCAGUUGGAUGUCAAAACUGUUUUGGAGUAUGCGGUGUCGAGGGAGAUGAAAUUGUUGAGAUUCCUGGUCGAUUUAGGGCUUUGGAAUGAGCAGUUUCUGAUUUGGGUGAGUAGUUGCUGGUAAGAGGGAAUGAAGUCCUUUUGCUACUGAACAUCGAUAGUUCGUUCAUGGAUGUCUUUCAAUUGCAUGUUCUAUGUCUGUUUUCCGGUUCCUGGAUUAAAGCACGUUUUAGAGGUACAACUUGGGUUAUCUUUGCAGAAUUGCAGCCGGGGAAUUUGCAGUUGUGUAAAGACAAUUUCUCAUUCCAUUUCUGACAAGAGUUUCCUUACACACAUUGUAAUUUCUAGGUAUAUGGAAUGCCUCUGUACUCAAUUGGGAAAUAGUGAUGUGUAUGGAAUGCCUGUGUACUCAAUUGCCCAAAAUUUUGGAGACAAAUCCGUUUACUGAUGAUGAAAUGACAAAUGUUCAAGAACGCUAUGCAAAUUUGAUUUUGGAAAGACUUUGAUGUAAUUUAAUUAUGUCAAUAACCAUGCUUUUAAACAAUGUUUAGCUUUUGUUUAGUUUUAUGAUAUUGUAAAUUUCAAUUUGUUUGAUAUUGUAACAAUGACAUGUUUGAUAUGAAAUUUGAUCAUAUGAUAUUUCAUAUUA